UAAGCAUGCACUCUACCACUGAGCUAUACCCUCCCCCAACUGUAAACUCCUUUGAAACUUAGGGACACAUACAUACUCUGUAGUGAGUCACGCUGGUAAAAAGAUAGAAGGAUAAAGGCGUUUGAUAUUUAGGAGAAAAGGAGGGGAUCUCUGUGGGCAAGUUACAUAAGAGAAGGCACAGAGGAGGAAAUGAGGAAGCAGGAGCAAGGCAAAGGCCAAGGUCAACCGAAACAGGAAAAUCAGCCUGAAAGCACAUUGCUUGGUCUUUGAAGAGGGUUCCUCCAAGUCCCACCUGGUCACAAAGCCUAACCAAAGCUGGGAUGGGGAGCACUCUGGCCUCGGAGCUCUGAGACACGCACUGUCUCCUUUGGCAUGUGGCACGGUUUUCUGGAAUCAUGAGCAUUUCUGUACAAAUGUCCUGAUUCUCCUGUUAAAUUUGAAGGCAGCACCACCACCCUUUUUUUUGGGGGGGGGAAUAGUAUAUCCAUAGCGCAAGAGGUAUGAACCAGACUAGAUUUUAAGCACAAGAGAAGUUAACACAGGGAAGUCAGUGCUUAUAAAAUAGUUGGAAGUACUGAAGGAGCAGGUGUGUGGGCUGGGGCUUUCUGGAAUGACUCUCUGGAACCCACAGAACUGACCCCCCACCUCCCAGGAGCUCCAACCUCCACACAAAUUAGGAUGAUGGGGGACCAGGGGGCUGUCUCUGGACCUGCUGAGCUCGUGAACACACUGCAGCUGCUAUGCUCGAAAAUGUGGAAGUUGGAGUCAGGAACCACCCCUGAUGCUAACGACUCAAAGCUUGAGCAGGCGCAGAAAAGAAGACCAGCAGCCUCUGUUUCACUUCCGCCAUCUGAAACUCGCACAAUCAGUGAGUCGCACAUCCGCCACUACUCGGGAGUCUGGGAGAUGUAGUUGUAAGCUUUCUAGCUUCUGAAACACAGAGCUUCUGGCACCCCAGGAAGAGGUACUCAGGUGACCCAGGUGAUGCUGACGCUGCGGGUCUGGAGACUGCACUUUGAGAACCAGUGGCCCAGGCUUUUGAAACUCCAAAACUCUGUGCUUUCUGCUCUCAAGUCCCAUGCCUCAGAGAUCUAUAUGGACAUACAUUAUUCUGUUUGUCCUAAAUCCCUGAAGUUACCUUAUCUUCAGAACAGCGGCUCUGCAUUCCAAGGGCAUAGGAGGGCACGCAAAACCGAAAGGGGAACCCGGGAUGAGUGAGGAGUGUGGAAGGAGACUGAGCCCUGCCUGACUGGAGUAACAUGGCAGAGAGAGUGACGCAGAGGUGUGAGCAGCUGACCCAGAACUGGACACUUGGGUCUGGGGAGACCUUGUCUACUCAACUGGCUGGAAGAAGUCUUUGGCUAAAUGACCCCUGUAGCCACUAUGCCUGAUGCUGAAGAAGAGGCAAGGAAGGCAGCAAAUGGACCACGCUUAGAGGCAGCAGUUGAUGGCGUUCCCAGAGAGAAGUGCACUUGUGGCGCUGGCUGCCCCGGGCUUCCUCUGAAAGCUCACCUCCGGGACUUGCCUUUUCAACAUCCUCCAGGGCCCAGCCCACCACAGUGAGGAAGUGUAUAGAACUACCACUAACUGAGAGCCUAUCAUGCAAGGCAUCUGGCUACUCACUUUAAAGAUCUGAGUCCAGCUGAGCCUCCCCAGAUAUCUACGGGUAGGUGGUAUUAUAUCCUCCUUUUUACAUAUGAGGACACUGAGGUCCAGAGAUCUUAAUUAACUUGUCCAAGAUUAUCAGCUGAUAAGUAAUAGAGCUACUUAGCUUACUGUUUUUUGCUUUUGUUCUUAAUCAGGUGUGGUCUCUUAAAAUGAUGAGGGAGAGAAGAGGAUGGGAAAUAGAAAAUACUUUUUAGGAAAUUCUGCUACUUCCUCAGGCUAAAUAAGAAACUCCUGAGUGAGAUUAGACCUUUCCAGUUAUUUGAGUUAUUGCUUUUUUUUUUUUAAAGAUAGUAAGGGAAUCCCUCACUAUACUUUUCCAGAUUCUUUUUCAUUAUAGGUUAUUACAAGCCAUUGAAUAUAGUUCCGUGUUAUACAGUAGGUCCUUACUGUUUAUUUUAUAUAGUGGUGUGUAUUUGCUAAUCCCAAAUUCCCAGUUUAUCCCUCUUUACCCUCCUUUCUCUUCUGGUAACCAUAAGUUUGUUUUCUAUGUGACUGUUUUGUAAAUAAGUUCAUUUGUAUCAUUUUUUUAGAUUCCACAAAUCAAUGAUAUAUUUGUCUUCUCAAAAUUAUACUUCGAUCUAGGCCUCCAAUUAAACUACUUAGAAUUUAGUGCUUAUGCUUAAACAUAAUUUGGUACUUCCCAUUUGGCUGACAGAACAAGGCAGAGAUACACAGAACUAACUACUAUCAUCGCUAUUAAGGUCUCAUAAUCAUUUUGAUUUUCCUACAUAAACCUCUACUACCCUCAAAGUUUUGUUUUGUUUCUAAUUUCAGAGAAGGCAAUUUGGACCUAAAGCUAUGAAUUAGGAAGUAAUCUACCACCUAACUGCAACUUAAGGUCAGUUUAUUUUGUAGCUUAAUAUGAGGAAAGGUUGAGAAAAAUUUUCCUCUUAAUAUAACAUAUGCUAACUCUUUCCAGAGGCCUUUGGUCAUCUUUACCAAAGUUUGAUUUGUCAGUUAAAUGAAUCUAAUUCUUGCCUACAGAUGAUAUGGGUAACAAAUUGAGAACACUUUGAUACAUAUAUUUGUAGAAGGGUAUACAUUGUUACAUUUACAGAAAUUGCAGUUAUUAAUCAAGAGGGAAGCCUGUAGAGUACACAGGUAGAAAAAAACGGGAGGACAGUAAGAAUGGGAACCAAAAAUUUUCUACUCUAUGUUAAUGAUCACCUAGGAGAGCAAAACACAUGGUACAUAAAGUAUUAAAAACAAAUGUGGAUGACUUAUUUACAAUAAGCAUUGAUAAGGUGACUGGGUUUAUAUAAAAGUAAAGGAAAAAAGUAUGAUCAAAUUUGAUCAUACCUAGGAAAAUAAAGUAAUUACAUUAGUUAUCUUGAUGGAAAUCAAUGUUCUCAUUUUGUAAAAAGAAGACUAAAUCAAAAGUCUCUGUUACUAAAAACUAAUUUCUGUAAAAACAUACCAUAAAAGUAAAGAUAACCCAAGUUCAGCUGACAUAUUCAGCUGACAUACGUUAUGUACAGGUGACCCUCCAUAUCCAUGGGGAAUCCUGGAACCAAUGCCCUACAGAUACCAAGGAAUGAUUAUAUAAAUGGUAUUCAUUCUUAGCUUGUUCUGAUGUUUUGCUAUCUGUGGACAUUUAAAAAUUACUAAUUUGGUAUCUAAAAUGUUAGUCCCUAACAAAAGUUUUAAGCACAUAAUACAAAGCAUAUCCAAACCAGACCCUUGAUAUAAAAGCACUGUAAGUCAAGAUUUAUUUCUCAAAAUGUGUAACUUUUGGAGCCUUGGAACACUCAUUA